rnacentral:rRNA from 1 species
GGAUAACUGUGGCAAUUCUAUAGCUAAUACAGUUAACUUUGUCCCUGCAUCGUGCUUUACUCGGUAUCGUGCGAAGACAGCUAUUGUUACAUGCAAAGCACUGGAAAACCUUCGGGGUUUCCAAGGAAAACGAUGAAUCUUAACAAAUUAGCCAAGCGUACUGGUCCUCGAACCGACGCUUUACCUUUCGAGCGACUGCCUUAUCAGCUCUCGAUUGUAGGGUAUUGGCCUACAAUGGCGAUAACGGGUAACGGGGAAUCAGGGUUCGAUUCCGGAGAGGGAGCCUGAGAAACGGCUACCACAUCUAAGGAAGGCAGCAGGCACGCAAAUUACCCACUCUCAGCACGGGGAGGUAGUGACAAAUAAUAACGAUGCGUGUCUCUUUCUGAGGCCUCGCAAUCGGAAUGGAUUUAUACUAAAUCACUGAAUGAGGAGCAAUUGGAGGGCAAGUCUGGUGCCAGCAGCCGCGGUAACUCCAGCUUCAGUAGCGUACGUUAACGUUGCUGCGGUUAAAAAGCUCGUAGUUGGACCUUGGGUGCGGACGAGCGUGUCACCCAUCGAUAACCUGAGGUUUUGAUCCCUUCGUGGUUCGGUUCCAAAGGUUCGAUGGCUGAAUUUACGUUCGACUUAUCCGUGCUUUAAAACAUGUGUCGGUUGUGUGAGGGGGGAUUCUUAACUGAGUGUUCUUCUCAUGUAGCCGGCAAUGUCACUUUGCAAAAAUAAGAGCGAUUAAAGCAGGCUGAAUGCCAUGAAUAUAUAUGCAUAGUACGAGAAAAGAGGACUUUGUCUCUGUUUGGUGCACAGAUGUACAGGGUAAUGAUUAAGAGAGACAGACGGGGACGUUCGUACUGCGGCGUUAGAGGUGAAAUUCUUGGAUCGCUGCAAGACGAACAAUCGCGAAGGCAUUCGUCCAGAACGCUUUUCUUAAUCAAGAACGAAAGUUAGAGGAUCGAAGGCGAUCAGAUACCGCCCUAGUUCUAACCGUAAACGAUGCAGACCGGCUAUUAAUCGGUGUUAUACCCAAAAACCCGAUUAGCAACCCCCGGGAAACCUGAGUUUCUAUGUUCCGGGGGGAGUAUGGUUGCAAGGCUGAAACUUAAAGGAAUUGACGGAAGGGCACCACCAGGAGUGGAGCCUGCGGCUUAAUUUGACUCAACACGGGGAAACUUACCAGGACAGGACAUCGGAAGGACUGACAGAUUUUAAGCUCUUUCACGAUUCGAUGGGUAGUGGUGCAUGGCCGUUCUUAGUUGGUGGAGUGAUUUGUCUGGUUAAUUCCGAUAACGAACGAGAUUUUGCCCUGCUAAAUAGAUUGCGGAUCGCUGCCUCCAGGCGCUAGAGCCGAUUGGAAGGCUGGGCUCGAUUUGACUUGCUCGGUUGACCUUUUGGGGCACGUGUCAUUAGAGGCGUCCGCAUGUAUCUUCUUAGAGGGAUCAGCAUCGUAUAGUUGCACGAGAUUGAGCAAUAACAGGUCUGUGAUGCCCUUAGAUGUCUUGGGCUGCACGCGCGCUACAAUGGAGAGAUCAACGCGCUUACCUGCUCCGAGAGGAGUUGGGAACCCGCUGAAAUCUCUCCUCAAUUGGGAUUGCGGCUUGCAAGCCUUCCUCAUGAACGAGGAAUUCCUGGUAAGCGUGAAUCAUCAGUUCGCGAUGAUUACGUCCCUGCCCUUUGUACACACCGCCCGUCGCUACUACCGAUUGAAUGAUUCAGUGAGGCCAUUGGACUGGCGCCCUAGAUUGAUUUUUUUCUUUCGAGGGUCGACGGGAAGAUGUCCAAACUGGAUCAUUUAGA